GGUCCCGCGCAGGCCGCCGACACGCUCCGCACCGCACUCGCCAUGGGCGCCGACUGCGCCGUCCACGUCCUCCACGACCCCGACCCGACCCCGCCCGCCCGCUCCUCCCGCUUGCCGUCGCCAAGAUCCUCCGCAUCCUCGCGCUCCAGGAGACCCCCGGCCUCCUCAUCCUCGGCAAGCAGUGCUCCCUCCAGGUGAAGUCGCCCACCGCAGCGCCAAGGGAUUCGUCUCCGAGGACGAGUUCCUCUCCAUCCCGGAGUUCUCCACCAACCGCUCUCCCAGAGGUUGCUACGUAUGGUUGAUGGAUUGAACUUCAAGGAAUUUGUUUCUUUUCUCUCUACCUUCAGCGCAAGGGCCAGCCUUCAGCAAAAGAUUGAGUUGAUAUUUAAGGUGUAUGACAUUGAUGGCAAGGGGAAAGUAUCCUUCAAGGACCUGGUAGAGAUUUUACGGGACCUAACAGGCUCAUCCAUGUCAGAGAAACAAAGAGAGGUUCUGAUUUGAUCCAAUCCUAUAUUUCAUUGCAUAGUACUACAUUCACUUGCAAGUACACUUGCUAAAUCAACAAGAACAAAUGUGGCUCUUUCCUUGUUUCCUUUUCAAAUAAUUUGUACCCUGCCAUCAUAAACACAUCAAGUGUGCAUAACUUGUUUCCAAAGUGAAGGGAACCCUGACACUAAAUUGUAGGUUUCUUCAUUGCAGUAAAUGUUCAGAGUAGCAUGCUUCGCAGUGCAAAUUCCUAUGUUGAUAUUUACUACUACCUCUGUUCGUAAAUACAAGACUUUUAUUUACGAACAGAGGAGCAUUAGCUAGAAAAUAUAGCCUUGUGUGGAACCAAUCCUUGUGUAUCUAAGAGCUAAACAAACAUGCCAUACAAGGAAAUGGAAGGCUUGCGUAGUUUCAACUGUUCGUUGCCAAUGAUUAAUCAUCUUGUUUGUUUUUUGGCUGCAUCUGACAUACAUUCUUAUGCCUGUUUACUCCAGUUCAGGCUCACGUUUCGUGGCUGAAAGGAAAACGAGCCUAUGCUUGCACCAACAUUAUUAGAAUGAGGUGUGGGCAUGUAUCAUUUUUUAAACUCUGCUAUCUUUUCCCAAGUCUUUAUUAUCUUGCCUAGCCUUGUACUGAUAUGUAUUGUUUGCUGCUAAUUACCCAAGAUAGUGCGUGAUGUUAAGGAUAACCUGAGAACACAUGCCUAAGUUUAUAAGAUAUGACAUGUGACAGUGCUGCUGCUGUUUGAAUGCUUCUACUGCUAGCUGCUUGCUUGAAUAGGUGUGCACUUGUGCUGGUGGUGGUGCUGCUUGUGCUGCUACUGCUCGUACUUGUGCUGCUAAGAACAUUGAAUAUAAUCAUUCUUGUUGGAUCGUGCAGACAUGUAUGUGCUGCUAAUUCUUGUGCUGCUAACACAUUCUUGUACUGCUCAUUCUUGUGAUGCUUAAGCUGUUGAUUGCCUAAUUUUAUUCAUCGUCUCCAUAAUAAUUUCAUUUGAUUGCCUGCUACAUCUCCACUUAAAUACUCAUAAUGCUACUGUCUAGGUUUUGUUCAAUUGGACUGACUAUAUAUCUCUUGUUAAAAUUGUGGUCUUGAUCUUUUGUUUAAACCUGAGACAUCAUGCAUAACUAGCUCUUCCUUUUCAGUCUAAACCUGAGACCUCUUUUGUUCUAUAUUCAGAUCCGACUGAUGGCCACAGUGCUGUUUUGCUGUGCUUGAUAAACCUGAGACUUCUUUUUAUUGUAAUAUUGAAGUUGUUUGGUUCUGGCCUCAGCAGCAGUACACUCUAAUUUUGGUGGCCUUUAUGUUCAUUCUUUUACAGGAGCUCCAGGCCUAUUUUUUUGGAGUGUGAAGCCGUGAAGCCAAGUGUGAAGCAGUACUUAGCAAAGAGUUUUUGGUUCUGUACUUGGCAAAGAGUUUUUGGUUCUGAAGUGUGAAGCCAGGUGUAAAUUGUAAUAUUGUAAAAGUCUAAUGUAGUGUUAAUGAAUUAUAUCUGUUCUGUCCUAUUUGAAAUAAUGAUUAUGUAUGUUGAAAAGAUGUGAAAUGGAAACUUGACCAGUGGGACCCAGUUAUGAAUAUAAUCUGAGCAAUUUUGAAAUUU